GGUAUAGCUCAGUGGCAGAGCGCCUGCUUAGCAAGCACGAGGUCCUGGGUUCAAUCCCCAGUACC
rnacentral:tRNA from 1 species